rnacentral:sRNA from 1 species
CACCGCGCCGGUUGGUCAUCCCUUUGGCGGCGCGGGAAGAACCCCCUACCAAAGGAAAGACGCAGAAACAGGGGGAACGGUGGCGAAGCCAGAGCCGUUGCGUUGAACGUCUGGCGGGU